AGUGGCUCACUCCGGGUCCCUGUAAAGAUGUCUGAGCAGGCGGGGAGGGAGCGGAGCGGAGGACCCGAAACAAACUGACAGAACCCGCGACUCUCCGCAAUUUAACCAGUCAAGGCAGGUCGAUGUCAUUCUGACGAGCAGCUGAGAUGUCCAAUGACAGCCAGGGAUCGGUGAAAGGGGAGGCGGCCAUCAUGCCAUCACCCUCUGGCUCCGCCUCCUCUCAGGAACCGCCCCUUUCUCCGUCCACCACCUCCAAACCACCUGAGCUCCCAGAUGAACUGGUCCAGGCUGGAUGGUCUAAGUGCUGGUCUCGGAGGGAGAACCGACCGUAUUAUUUCAACAGAUUCACCAAUCAGAGCCUGUGGGAGGUCCCAGUGCUGGGUCAGCAUGAUGUCAUCUCUGAUCCUUUAGGUCUGAAUGCGGCUCCUGCAGAGGGCGGAGACAGUAAUCUAGGUAAUGGUCAGAGGAAGAGGAGGAGCUCUGAGGAGCAGGGGGCGGCGCCUAACAACAUCAAAAGAGUCAAGAUGGAGCCCACCACCCCCAUCUCUCCCAGCACCCCCGGGGUCAAACCCUGGAACUCCACCCCUGAGGACAAACCGGCCCAACCAGCCACACCCACAACGCCAAGCCCCGCCCCUGCUGUAUACAGGCCAGCUGUUAUUUACUGGGAUCUGGACGCCCAGACCAACGCGGUGAUCAGAGAGCACCCCCCCGCCAACCACCUGCUGCCCCCCCACCCUGAGAUGGAGCUGCUGAGAGCUCAGCUGGUCACCAAACUUCGGCAACACUACCACGAGCUGUGUCACCAGAGAGAAGGUAUUGAUCCGCCCCGGGAGUCGUUCAACCGUUGGCUGCUGGAGAGGAAAGUGAUCGACAAAGGCCACGACCCCUUACUGCCGAGUGACUGCGACCCCGUCAUCUCCCCAUCCAUGUUCAGAGAGAUCAUGAACGACAUUCCCAUCAGGUUGGCACGUAUCAAGUACAAAGAGGAGGCCCGGAAGCUGCUGUUUAAAUACGCUGAAGCUGCCAAGAAGAUGAUUGACUCUAGGAAUGCGAGUCCAGAGAGCAGGAAGGUGGUGAAGUGGAACGCUGAAGACACCAUGAGCUGGCUUCGCCGAGAUCACUCCGCCAGCAAAGAGGACUACAUGGACCGUCUGGAGCACCUGAGGCAACAGUGUGGUCCUCACCUCACCGCUGUCGCCAAAGACUCUGUGGAGGGAAUCUGCUCCAAGAUCUACCAGUUGUCUGCAGAGUACAGCCGCCGGAUGAGACAGACGCAUCUCAGUCUUCUGCAGGACCCCCCCACUGAGGCCAGUGUGUCCCCCCAGCAGUCCCGGUUGGUCUACUGUUACCCGGUGCGUCUGGCGCUGCCUUCGCCGCCCCUCCCCCGAGUCGAGCUGCACUUUGAGAACGACGUGGCCUGUCUACGCUUCAGAGGAGAGAUGGUCAAAGUCAACAGAGGACACUUCAGCAAACUGGAGUUGUUGUACAGGUACAGCUGUAUAGACGAUCCUCGCUUUGAGAAGUUCCUGUCCAGAGUCUGGUGCCUCCUCAAGAGAUACCAGGUGAUGUUUGGCAGCGGCGCUAACGAGGGGACGGGUCUGCAGGGGGCUCUGCCGGUGCCGGUGUUCGAGGCGUUGAUUCGACAGUUUGGAGUUUCCUUCGAGUGUUUCGCUUCGCCGCUCAACUGCUACUUCAAACAGUUUGGCUCCGCCUUCCCCGACAUCGACGGCUUCUUCGGAUCCAGAGGGCCAUUCCUGUCUUUCCGUCCAGUCAGCGGCUCGUUUGAAGCCAACCCUCCGUUCUGUGAAGAGCUGAUGGAAAUCAUGGUGACACACUUUGAGGAGCUUUUGGACAAGUCCUCUGAGCCGCUGUCCUUCAUCGUCUUCGUCCCCGAGUGGCGUGACCCCGUGACCCCGGCUCUGACCCGCAUGGAAGCAAGUCGAUUCCUCCGUCACCAGCUGAACAUCACGGCCUUCGAACACGAGUAUCGCUCUGGGAGUCAACACAUCUGCAAGAGAGAUGAGAUGUACUACCGGGCGGUACACGGUACUGCGGUACUCUUCCUUCAGAAUGACGCCGGUUUUGCGAAGUGGGCGCCGACUCCGGAGCGUCUCGCCGAGCUGAUGGCAGCGUACCGCCCCUCCCCCUCUCGCCCCGCCACCCUGGCCUCUCCUGGUCCCGCCCCCAUUACCCCCGGAGACAAAGACUCCGCCCCCAAGGCCGCUGAUAGGACGCAGAGUGGGGUGAUGUCCCCUGGUGGUCCUGACGAUAACAACAACAACAACACAACAACCACCACCACCAUCACCACCAACAGCAGCAACACAAACAACAACACCACCACCACAAACAACAACAACAGCAGUAGUACUAGUAGUAGCAGCAGCAGUAGCAGCAGCACAAGUCCUCAAGAAAAGAUGGCUGCCGUGUAAUGGGGGUGGGGCUUAUAGUGUGACCACGCCCCCUCGCCUGUGUAAAGUUUCUCUGUUUUUUGAUCGUCGUCUCGUCUCUUCAGAUUGUCCCUCACCAACACCUGUAGCAUCUGUCCACUUACCCACAAUGCGGUUCUGGACCAGAGUUGAUCCUUUCUGUCGGCUUUCACCGUCUCCCCUCACACAUCAGCUCUUCUGAUUGGUCGAAGCUCUGACGUCAGAGCUUCUGGAGCUUUUUCAUUCACAGCCAGUUAGAAGAUGUAGUUAAGCUCCAGCAAUAAAAAAAAAAUAAAAAAAAAAAAAACUUUUUUCAUUCACCUGUGACGUCAACUGUGACGUCACUGGAAGACUUCUGAUUGGUCCCCCACACCGACAGGGCUUGGUGAUUGGUUGACAAGGCAGCUAUGGUUUCUAUUGGACUCGUCUUUCCUCAUUGAGUUGGAAAGACUCUUCAGGCCCCGCCUCCUCCGUACUCGGUGCGCAUCCUUCAGAGGAUGAACCCUCCCAAGUUUGUGGUGCAUUGUGGGGGAAACUCAUCGGGCAGGAGUCGGCGGAGCAUUCGCAGUGAGUUCAUAUUUACUUGUGGAAGGAGGCGGAGUCAGAACUGGGACUAGGAACUGGUCGACGAUGACAGACAACUCCUCAGAGGUCUCAUCAGACUUCCUGUGGUGUCAUGUGACAGGUGUUGGACCAGGUGUGUUUGUCACCAGUGAACAUUAACAUGUUUAGGAACGGAUCUUCAAAAGAAAGCAUUUAAUAAUAAUAAUGAAGAAUACUCGAAGAACCAGCGACUCCUCACACUUCGUAACUCGACACCAUGGAUGUUUAACAAGAACUGGACAUUGGACACCAAGACGCCGCAUUUUUAGUUCCUAGCUUCCGUGAUUUGCGGUCGGCUGAAUAUGCACCUCUGGCUCCGCCCCCAAAUCCCAGAUCCGCCCACAUACUUCACAUAGUGAUGACGUCACACAUUUUUUAAAUCGCCUUUCUCGGCUUGAGAAGUUUUAUAAAUUCAAUCCUUAAUGGAUCAAAUGAUGUUGAUGGAGUUCCAAGUUUGAGAUUUUUAAGAUGAUGGUCUAUGGCCUUUUUCUUCUUCCCAUAGACUCUAUGGGGAAAAAUAGCUUUUUUGGGGGGCUGCAGUACUGCCAAGUGGCUACUCGGGCAACAAUGGUGCCGUAUCCAGUUCUUCUUACACAUCCAGUCUGUUGGCUGAUUGGCUGAAUCGUCCUAUCAGGGGGCGUCUGUCUCCGGCUAUGUAGAUACUGUACAGUUAUAAACUGAUAUGAAGUCUGUUGAUGUUAUUUUUCCUCAUCUGCUGUUUGAAUUGAUUUAAAAAACAAAACAAAAUUUAAUUGUAUUUUUUUUUUUUUUUGGAUUUAAUUUAACAUAAAAAAGAAGAUAUGGAGAUCUGUAUUAUACAGCUUAUGAUAGUUUGUUUUAAACUAAACCAAAGUGUUAUUAAGAAAAUCUAUAUCUUGUAUGUCAAAGUAGACGUGUGUAUGCAUCAGUAAUGCUGAAGUCUAACCAGCAGGAUACUCCACAUUAUUUUUAUAAUUCUCAGCUGUUCUCUUUUCAGUAACUUGUUUUUUUUUUUUUUUGUUAUUUGGGUUUUUUUGUUGUGCAUGAAACCUUUUGGACUCCAAAUGAUGUUCGUAAAUCCUGAAUGUGUUUUUCAGGCAGAGCUUUUGGGCUGCAUGGCGUCGCCGCUUCACGAGAUGUUUCUUCAACUUUCUA